rnacentral:rRNA from 1 species
UAGAGUUUGAUCAUGGCUCAGGAUGAACGCUGGCGGCGUGCCUAAUACAUGCAAGUCGAACGAACUUCCGUUAAUUGAUUAUGACGUACUUGUACUGAUUGAGAUUUUAACACGAAGUGAGUGGCGAACGGGUGAGUAACACGUGGGUAACCUGCCCAGAAGUAGGGGAUAACACCUGGAAACAGAUGCUAAUACCGUAUAACAGAGAAAACCGCAUGGUUUUCUUUUAAAAGAUGGCUCUGCUAUCACUUCUGGAUGGACCCGCGGCGUAUUAGCUAGUUGGUGAGGUAAAGGCCCACCAAGGCAGUGAUACGUAGCCGACCUGAGAGGGUAAUCGGCCACAUUGGGACUGAGACACGGCCCAGACUCCUACGGGAGGCAGCAGUAGGGAAUCUUCCACAAUGGACGCAAGUCUGAUGGAGCAACGCCGCGUGAGUGAAGAAGGGUUCGG